GAAGACAAAACUUCUUGUUGUUCAUCAUGUCUCAAAUGUUCUUGGUGAGUGUUACUGUCUUAUGAUCUAAAUACAGUUACUAAAUGAAAGAGAAAAACAUCUUGAAGGAAUGAAAAUGAGAUCUAAAUUUGCUAUAAACUUGCUCUGACAGGCAUAAAUCAGAUUUCCAUGUUUUAUGCAUUCUUUAUGUAUUUGCAUGUAUCUAUUCUAUUUGCUUGCUAAUGUUAUUUCCAUGGGCUAUAUGCAUUUUAUAUAGCUGGGAUCAGUUUGUUUCACUUAUUAGAAGUGGUUUUCCGCACACUGAACAUAGAUUUACUUCCCGAGUUGAAUUUUUACGGAGUGUGAUGGUACAACCUGUUAAGAUAGAAAAAGAAAAAGUUCUAUUGAUUAUUCUCAAGCAAAACAAAUGAUCUAUGGCCACCCAAAUUCCUGCUUUCAGGUUAGAUACCUCAACUUUGGGGAGCCAUCUGCCUAGAUAACAUCCCUGGAACGGAUUUUCUUUUUGGGAGAGCUACUAGUUUCUUGUUUUGGUGAAUCUGAAUGAAAUCAUGAGAAAUCAAAAAUUGCUUGUGUUAGAGUUUGUUAACAUUGUUACGUUACAUAUUUGAGGUACUUAAGGCUCAAGUUACCAGGGUAUCUAUUUUCAUGUCAGUUCUAUGAAUUUUUAUUAUCAUUCUUGUGAUAUAAUCCCCAACCUUUGUGAAAAUUCUAGAUAAGACAUAAAUUUUGGUACUGACCACGUCAGUGGAGACCUAAAUGAAUAAGGCUCUGUUGAAUUGCUAGAUUUCGUUGCUGAAAUUUUUGACAUUGUUAAACUACUUAUUGUGUUCCAAAGCCAAACUGAAAAUUGCUUAUAACAGUUGCAUCUAUUCAUUGAUAUUUCAUCUUUUCUUCUUUUCUUUUUAUAAUUUUUUACCUCAGCUUGUGUUCUUCCAAUCAAUCCAAUUGUGAGUUGGGCACAUGAUGUUGGAGCCAAGGUGCUUGUCAAAGUGUUCCACACAUGGUGAUUGACGUUGGGGAACCUUAAUGCUGAUUUUCUGGUUGCUUCUUCACAUAAGGUUAAGUCCUUCCCAUAUGCAUCUAUAUUCUUAAAUCUUGUAAAUGGAUUUUUUAAGUUAAGAAAUAAACAUUCUUCAGAUGUGUGGGCCUACAGGCAUCGGAUUCUUAUAUGGUAAAAGUGAGCUCGUCUGCCAUGCCUCCUUUCUUAGGUAGGCUUGGUUUUUUCAAUAAUAAGCUUUUUCUGUNCUGUCCUUCUGAUCUUGAAGUAUUUAGGUUAGCUUCCCUCUUAGUCUCUUAUUCCUAUCAAUGGACCCGUCAAGCCUUUUCUGAUGUUAUUCUCGAGUUCCCUGAAUCAAAGGUGGUGGUGACAUGAUAGCUGACGUAUUUUUAGAUCAUUCUACCUUUAGCUGAACCUCCAUCAAGGUUAGUUGCUUCUAUACAGUUCGACCUACAUCAGGGGUAGAUAAAAGCAGAUAGAUGGCUCUCCACAUUUGCUUCCUUUGGGAAAUGGGAAUCUGAUAUUGAUUUAAAAUUGGAUAUUAAAACCUAAUCUGUGGGAAAUAAAAAAUAAAAAAAAAAUAUCUGGUUUGAUUUGAGAAUACAUUAUAUAUUUUAUUAUAAGUGAAGUUCAGUUUUAUUGCUCGCUGGUUAGUUUCUAUAACAGAGCACGCUAGAUUUCACGUGCUUCAGGGUGCACAUGAAAUCGCCUGUGAAUUCAUGAAAUUGUAGAAAUUAGCGGCUGGAAUAUUUAAGAAUUGUGUCCCUCUCUAACCUUGAAAUGGACAUAUAGCAUGAUUUCCAUCUAAUGCCCCUUACCUUCCAGUAACAGUGAUCUUUGGACAUCUUGCAAAAUGCAAACAUUAUUAUGUAAGAUAUCUUCCACAUUUAUGUUCAAUUGGCUAGAUAUUUGAUACAUAUUUAAUUCAGAAAAUCCUGGUUUCCAUAGUCAGUCCUUGAUUUAUUAUCAGCUUUAAUUUUUUUUAGAUGAUACUUUUUUGAAAUAGUUCAAUAGUUAUCUGUGUAUUAACCUUGUUCUUAGUAUGCUACCAAAAUAGUUUGCAUUUUGGCAUUAAUCAUUAGGGUCAUACUAAAAGUUAAUGAUGGGUAAGUCGGUUGUUUGAUAUUAGUUCUCAAGCCUUUUUUUUCUGAGCUACUUGUUGGCAUGAAUUCUGAUCUACAACUGGUAACAUGUCGUUCAUCUAAUAACCUAUUUUUGUACUAUAAAAUUUCAUCUUUUACCGCCUCGACCCUCUCUUAUCCACACCAAACAGGUUGAACAUUCGGUGUCUCCUUCAUAUAUUUAAUCUUUCUUUUAUUUUUAAGAUCCAAGGAUCUUACAUUAAACCUUCUCAAACCUUUAAUCUUUAUAAUUUGAGCAGCCUUUCUACAUCAAACUGAAUAAGUGGAUUUUGAUCUCUAUGUGGUGAUUUUCUUUCGUUUAUUCAUUGCCUCAUUAUCACUAAUCUUUCUUCUUGCAUUCUUGUUUGCUGAUGCAUAAUUCUUGUUAUAAUUUACUUUCCUGUGAUAUCAGAUUUGAGGCUGGAACGCCUGCUAUUGGGGAAGCAAUUGGUUUAGGAGCGGCAAUUGAUUAUUUAUCAGGCAUUGGAAUGCAAAAAA
rnacentral:lncRNA from 1 species